rnacentral:tRNA from 3 species
GGGCCCGUAGCUCAAUGGUAGAGCAAAAGCCUUUUAAGCUUUGGGUUGAGCGUUCGAAUCGCUCCGGGCUCA